rnacentral:rRNA from 1 species
AGAGUUUGAUCCUGGCUCAGAAUGAACGCUGGCGGCGUGCUUAACACAUGCAAGUCGAGCGAGAAAGUUCCUUCGGGAAUUAGUACAGCGGCAGACGGGUGAGUAAUACAUGGGAAUCUGCCUUUAAGUGAAGGAUACCUUUGAGAAAUCAAAGUUAAUACUGCAUAUCUCCUCCGGGAGAAAGAUGGCUUUUAUGCUGUCGCUUGAAGAUGAGCCCAUGCGCUAUUAGCUAGUUGGUGGGGUAAAGGCCUACCAAGGCGAUGAUGGCUAGCCGGCCUGAGAGGGUGAACGGCCACACUGGAACUGAGACACGGUCCAGACUCCUACGGGAGGCAGCAGUGAGGAAUAUUGCACAAUGGGCGAAAGCCUGAUGCAGCGACGCCGCGUGGAGGAUGAAGGUCUUCGGAUCGUAAACUCCUGUUAAGUGAAAAGAAAGAACCGCCUUUAAUAGAGGCGGGAGAUGACGUUAUCACUAGAGAAAGCACCGGCUAACUUCGUGCCAGCAGCCGCGGUAAUACGAGGGGUGCAAGCGUUAUUCGGAAUGACUGGGCGUAAAGGGUGCGUAGACGGCACGUUAAGUCUUUUGUUAAAUACCUCAGCCUAACUGGGGAUCAGCAGGGGAAACUGGCGAGCUUGAGGUUGGAAGAGAGAAGUGGAAUUCUCGGAGUAGCGGUAAAAUGCGUAGAUCUCGAGAGGAACACCAAUGGCGAAGGCAGCUUCUUGGUCCAAACCUGACGUUGAGGCACGAAAGCGUGGGGAGCAAACAGGAUUAGAUACCCUGGUAGUCCACGCUGUAAACGAUGAUCACUAGAUGUUGGUUUUGCGUUGCAGAAUCAGUAUCGUAGCUAACGCGUUAAGUGAUCCGCCUGGGGAGUACGGUCGCAAGAUUGAAACUCAAAGAAAUUGACGGGGGUCCGCACAAGCGGUGGAACAUGUGGUUUAAUUCGACACUACGCGAGGAACCUUACCUAGGCUUGACAUGCAAUUGACAGUUGUGGAAACACAAUCUUUCGGGCUUGCUCGAACAGUUGCACAGGUGCUGCAUGGCUGUCGUCAGCUCGUGUCGUGAGAUGUUUGGUUAAGUCCUCUAACGAGCGCAACUCCUGUCGUUAGUUGCUACUACUUUUUGUAGGCACUCUAGCGAGACUGCCUGGGAAACCAGGAGGAAGGUGGGAAUGACGUCAAGUCAUCAUGGUCCUUAUGUCUAGGGCAACACACGUGUUACAAUGGCCGGUACAGAGGGCUGCAAACUUGUAAAAGUAAGCUAAUCCCAGAAAGCCGGUCUAAGUUCGGAUUGAGGUCUGCAACUCGACCUCAUGAAGUUGAAAUCGCUAGUAAUCGCAUAUCAGAACGAUGCGGUGAAUACGUUCUCGGGCCUUGUACACACCGCCCGUCACACCACGAGAGCUGUCUGUACCCAAAGCCGUUUUAGCUAACCUGUUAAAGGAGGCGGACGUUUAAGGUAUGGGGAGUGAUUGGGGUGAAGUCGUAACAAGGUA